CUCAGCCUCUGAUUAUCACUCAAUAACAAACAUUGCAAUUCAAAAGGACUUCCUCAUCUGGUGGAUAUCUUGCUGUCAUAAAAGCUGUUUCUGACACCUACAAGCCUGGAUGACUGAAACCGCAGUGAGCAAAUCAGUUCUGAGUUGCCGGACUGCUUAUUUCUUGCAAACUCUCAGUGACAAAAAUAUUUAUUAAAUAGUUAAAUUUAAAAUUAUUGCAAAACCAGAAAUAACAAAAAAGUAGUGAGGUAGUACUAGGAUGUUACCUGGGUUUCAGCACUUAAGUUACAGAGAAAGGUUGAACAAGUUAGGUCUCUAUUCAUUGGAGCAUGGAAGAUUGAGGGGGGAAUUGAUGGAGGUAUUUAAAAUUUUGAGAGGGAUAGAUAGAGUUGACGUGAAUAGGCUGUUUCCAUUGAGAGUAGGGGAGAUUCAAGCGAGAUGAUUUGAGAGUUAGGGGGCAGAAGUUUAAGGGAAACACGAGAGGGUAUUUCUUUACUCAGAGAGUGAUAGCUGUGUGGAAUGAGCUUCCUGUAGAAGUAGUAGAGGCCAGUUCAGUUGUGUCAUUUAAGGUAAAAUUGGAUAGGUAUAUGAACAGGAAAGGAGUGGAGGGUUAUGGGCUGAGUGUGGGUAGGUGGGACUAGGUGAGAUUAAGAGUUCGGCACGGACUAGGAGGGCCAAGAUGGCCUGUUUCCGUGCUGUGAUUGUUAUAUGGUUAUAUGGUAGUGUUCAUGGGCUCAACGUCCAUUCAGAAACAGAAUGGCAGAGGGGAAGAAGCUGUUCCUAAAUCACUGAGCAUGUGCCUUCAGUUUUCUGUGCAUCCUUUCUGAUGGUAACAAUGGGAAGAGGGCAUGUCCUGGGUGAUGGGGGUUCUUAGUAGUGGACACCACCUUUCUGAACUUGUUUUCCAUGUGACUGGUAAGUUACUUAUUGUCACAUGAAGGACAGUGAAACAAUUGUUUUGUUUAGCAUCUGUACAGAUCAAUUCAUUAUCACAGUACAUUGAGGCAGAACAACUUAAAAUCGCAGCGUGCAAAAUGAGGGUUUAUGGUCAGUGCAGAUAGAAGUAAGGUGCAAGGUCAUAAUGGGGUGGAUUGUGAGGCCAAGAGUUUAUCUAUCAUAGUACAGAAUAAUUCCAUAGACGUAUAACAGCUGGAUAGAAACCGUCCUUGAGCUUGAUGGCACACUGGUUUUUGGGCUUGUGUACUUUCUGCCUGAGGGGAGGAGAGAGAAUGUCAACAGUGUGGGAGAUUGCUGAUUGUGCUGGUUGCUUUACCAAGCAGUGAGAAGCAUAGUGUUACAUACCCUGUGACUUGUGACUGUCUUAUGACCAUGAUGUAAUUGAGUAUCUGGUGAGCAUGAUGUAAUGGUCUUGUGAUGGUGGGGUGAUGUAUUUUCCUGCCAGUGUGAGGUCACAUGAUGUAAUUUUCUCACCAGUGUGAGGUCAUGUGAUGGCUUGUUCCAACAAGUAUAAAAUAAGGAAAGCCUGCUGUGACACAGGAGUUUUUGUUGGGACGUCGUUUAAGUCGUCAGUUACUCCGUUAUGCUGCGUAUUUGAUUUCAUGACGCAGUUUCGUUUUAGAGUGGAGUUUUAAUUUCUACUAUAAGGUACAUUAUUGUUGUGCCGGCAGUUUUGAAAAUCGCUGCCAGUUAUGUUUGAUGCACCUCUGAUUUAAUUUUAAAGUCUAAGUAUUGGAGAGUGAAGAUUUACCAAAGUACGGAAACCCGAAGGAUCGAGUAAAGUUUGGUGUCGUCGGCGGUUUAACACAGGAUUGACCUUAUUGGAUCUUCAUUCAGGAAAUAGUAACCUGCAUCUGAGAUAGCCCCUGCAGUAAGAGCAGAAAGGGUUGGGGCAGUGUUAUUUGCCAAGGAAAAGGUCAGUUCCUUCAAGUCGUUUUUAUUU